rnacentral:sRNA from 1 species
GUCGCCUCCUCCUCUUCCUCCUCCUCCUGGGCCGGGCUGAUCCCCUCCCCGCUGCCGCCUCCUCCUGGGCUGGGCCCGCGGUGUCUCGUCCCCUCGCGGAGCCGCUCCUGCCGCCGCCGCUGCCGCCUCCUCAUUCAUCCUCGUGCACCAUAGGCGGCACAGGCACCAAGAUGUCCAACCGAGUGGUCUGCCGAGAAGCCAGUCACGCCGGGAGCUGGUACACAGCCUCAGGACCGCAGCUGAAUGCACAGCUAGAAGGUUGGCUUUCACAAGUACAGUCUACAAAAAGACCUGCUAGAGCCAUUAUUGCCCCCCAUGCAGGAUAUACGUACUGUGGGUCUUGUGCUGCCCAUGCUUAUAAACAAGUGGAUCCGUCUAUUACCCGGAGAAUUUUCAUCCUUGGGCCUUCUCAUCAUGUGCCCCUCUCUCGAUGUGCACUUUCCAGUGUGGAUAUAUAUAGGACACCUCUGUAUGACCUUCGUAUUGACCAAAAGAUUUACGGAGAACUAUGGAAGACAGGAAUGUUUGAACGCAUGUCUCUGCAGACAGAUGAAGAUGAACACAGUAUUGAAAUGCAUUUGCCUUAUACAGCUAAAGCCAUGGAAAGAUGCAGAUUCUGCCCAAGAAGCCCCUGCAUUGCAGAGGGACUGGAGAUCUGUAUGAUCUGUUUAUUUCGCAAUUGACAGGCCAUAAGGAUGAGUUUACCAUUAUUCCUGUACUGGUUGGAGCUCUGAGUGAGUCAAAAGAACAGGAAUUCGGAAAACUCUUC